AUGGGAACGCGAAGAACCUUACCUAGACUUGACAUCUCCUGAAUAGUGUAGAGAUACAUGAAGCCCUUCGGGGCAGGAAGACAGGUGCUGCAUGGCUGUCGUCAGCUCGUGUUGUGAAAUGUUGGGUUAAGUCCCGCAACGAGCGCAACCCUUAUCCUUUGUUGCCAGCGGUUAGGCCGGGAACUCAAAGGAGACUGCCAGUGAUAAACUGGAGGAAGGUGGGGAUGACGUCAAGUCAUCAUGGCCCUUACGAGUAGGGCUACACACGUGCUACAAUGGCGCAUACAAAGAGAAGCGACCUCGCGAGAGCAAGCGGACCUCAUAAAGUGCGUCGUAGUCCGGAUUGGAGUCUGCAACUCGACUCCAUGAAGUCGGAAUCGCUAGUAAUCGUAGAUCAGAAUGCUACGGUGAAUACGUUCCCGGGUCUUGUACACACCG
rnacentral:rRNA from 1 species